rnacentral:lncRNA from 1 species
UCGGCGCUUUUAUCUCUGAAAGGAAGAACACUUGGAAAGGAAGCUGCGUGUUUUUCCUCUUGCCCGGAAGAGCCAGCCUGUAUGUCUCCCUUUUGACCCGAGGCCAAGCGCCUGAAGCCUCUUGGACUUAGUUAACAUUAGUCCGUUUUCUAUGCGUUUGUCCUUGGCUUGGUUUAUGGUGUUUGUUGAAAGAGAUGGGGUCUCUUCUGUUUUCCCAUGAUGGUCUCCAACUGCUGGUCUCAAGUGAUCCUUCUGCCUCAGCCUCCCAAAGUGCUGGUAUGACAGGUGUGAGCCACUGUACCCAGCCUAAUUUAUGCUGUUUGAAGACACUGAAGAGGACGCUGUGUUUCUCCCCACCCUACACAUGUGGACACAGAGGCUGGAGAUGUGAAGGAACUUGUUCUGGGUCACACAGCAGAACCGUCUGGCCUAGUGGAGAUGCCACUGUAGCCAGGUGGCAUGAGGAUCCAAGCUCUGAGCCUGCAUUUCCUGGGGAUGGCACCAGGGAUGGCUGCCAGCUGAAGGAGGGCCCACCCCUCCACACACAGCCCCAUCCUGCCACUCCCCAUCUACAGAUCGGGACAGCUGGGACAUGGUAAGGUCCUGUGAGAUCCAGAGGUGCUCUGGGGCUCCCCAGGUUGCUGAUCCAUGCAGAGCUUCUCCCUGGCUCCUCCUGUCAGAGCCCAAAGAUCCCUGUACUUUGGAAGAUUGGGCAAUGCCUAUGUGCACGAUUAGAUAAUUAGUUACAUGCUCCUCAGGUGCCGUUAAGAAAAUGACACUCCAAGGCUGUGUGUACUUCACACAGGCCAUUACUGCUCAUCCACGCACAGGAAAGCAGCCCCAGAGGACCUGUCGGGGCUGCCCUGCCCGAGCCACCCACCGGCAUGGGGAUCCUGGAGAGCUCCCGGCCGAUGCAGUUCUUCAUGAUGCUCCAGAGGUUAAGGCUGUAGUUGGGCUUGUUGGGAAUGCGGACUCGCCUCUUGACUUUGGAUGAACCCUUGGGCACGAGCGAGGCACCAUCUAGUACCUGCCACAUAAGUGGGGACCCCCUCACCGUCAGCAGAGGCCAGAGCGCCCCCUUGGCUUCCAAGUUUCUGCCCUCCACCCUGAGGACUGGCACCAAGCCGGCCACUGGUACGCUGCUGGUGGAAGGCCAGGAUGGUGCUCCUGGACUGGGGCAUGGGCCUGCCUGCUGGCCCCCAGUUCUUGGUGCUGGCCUGUCCCUCCCACCCCCUAGGCCAGAAGCUGCCUUCUGGCCCUUACAGUGCUCCCCCUCACUUACAUUGUCUGCUGAGCUCCAGUCCACGGAACUUGUCCCGGUGCUACCUUCAGCUUUUCUGCUGGAAAUACAAAGCGGGAGGCAAGUUACUAAUGAAUCCCGAGGUCUCCUUGGGACCUGGCCCAUCCUCUCUCCAGACAACAUCAUUUUCAUUGCUAGUAAAUGUCCUGGUCACUGCCGUGUGUUCUGUGUGUAGACAGGCACCGCAAUAACAACAUUUCAAGGGUGGAUAGUGUAUAUGACAGUGGUCCCAUAAGACUAUCAUAUCGUAUUUUUAAUAUACCUUUUCUAUGUUUAGAUACACAAAUCCUUAACCAUUGUGUCACAAUUGCCUACAAUAUUCAGUACAGUCACAUGUUGUACAGGUUUGUAGCCCAGGAGCUAUAGGCUGUGCCAUAUAGCCCAGGUGUGUGGCAGGCUCUAUCAGCUAGGUUUGUGUAAGUAUACUCUAUGAGGCUCACACAACAAUGAAAUCCCAUCUGGAGCAAGACCGAUAGAUUAUUGAUUUUUUGAGACAGGGUCUCUCUGUUGCCCAGGCUAGAGUGCAGUGGCAUGACCAUGGCUCACUGCAGCCUCCACCUCCCUGGGCUCAAGCGACCCUCCCACUUCAGCCUCCCAAGUAGCUGGGACUACAGGCCUGCACUACCAUGCCUGGCUAGUUUUUGUAUUUUUUGUAGAGACAGGGUUUCGCCAUGUUGCCCAGGCUGGUCUCAAACUCUUGUAUUCAAGCAAUCUUCUUACCCUUGGCCUCCCAAAGUGCUGGGAGCCACUGGGCCUGGCCAAAGCAAGAUUUAAAGGAAAGAAAACCCCAAGUAGACAACUAGAUAGCUGGUGAAAAGACCAGAUGCAGCCUAAGACCAGGGUGGGGGAGGCUCUGCCCAGCUGCAGCCACCUUACCUGUCUUCCUUGGCCUCGGUGAUCACGGUGAUGAAGGAUGUGGAGUCUUCCAUGGCAUCAAAGUACUCGGUAUCUUCAUCUUCCUCACUGUCCUCUCCUUUGGGAGUCAAGAGGCUUCCUAGAGACACAGACAGAGCUUUAAUUUGUAACCUCACAAAAGGCUCAAUCUCGCCUCCCUAAGUCCAGAGCCAAGGGCUCCCCCAACCCCCAUCUGGCCUCACUCCCCUCCUGCUUCAGUCACCUGGGCAGCCCUGAUUCCCUGGGCUGCGGCCACCCUUGCUCCCUCUGCUAGAAUCAUGUGCUUUCAACGCAUUCACCGCACAGGAGCCUCUUUCUGGAAGCCCCCCCGAUCUCUCAACAUGUGGGUCAGUCUUUCUGUGGCCCAGCUUCCCUUUCUGAUGGACCCCUGUCCAGGGUCCCCAUGACCCCCAACCCAAGGCUAGGUGGGUGGCCACCUGGCACCAGGACACCCCUGUCACACAGGGGACAGCUGGGCUCAUUAAAUUUAACUCUUGAGAAUGUGAACCUAGGUGCAGACAAACUGUUGCCAGUGGGUGAUGGACAUGGGAGAUACAAAACCACGAAGAGGCAGUCAAGAGUUGGCCAAGGCCAGCCCACAUGUGGGCACAGCCAGGGAUGUGCAUGUGGGGGCGCAGAAGUUGUGUAUGCAGAGCCAGCUGGCAGAAGGUCAUGGGACAGCCCUGCCCUGGCUGCCCACUCACCCUCAAUGAAGCUCUUGGAGGGGUUGGCCGGCCGGCCAGGGGCACUGUGGAAGGCCCGCUCGAGGCUGUUGUGCUGCUUCGCCAGCUGCUCAAUGGUUUCCUCCAAGUGCACGCGCUGCUCCUGCUCAUACUGCAGUGCCCGCUGCCAUUUCCGACUGUGUAUCUCUGCUAGUUCCAAGAAGUCCCUGCAGGCCUGGGGAGGGAGGAGUGGCGGUAUGAGACCCUGGCCUCUGGCAGGGGCCCAUCUGUCAGAGGCAUGUGAACCAGAGCAACUCCACCUUAAACAGGAGCUGGGUAAGAUGAGGCUGAAACCUACUGGGCUGCAUUCCCAGACAGCUAAGGCAUUCUAAGUCACAGGAUGAGAUACAAAAUACAGGUCAUAAAGACCUUGCUGAUAAAACAGGUUGCAGUAAAGGAGCCGGCCAAAACCCAUCAAAACCAAAAUGGCGACGAGAGUGACCUCUGGUCGUCCUCACUGCUACACUCCCACCAGCGCCACAGUUCACAGAUGCCAUGGCAACAUCAGGAAGUCAUCCUCUAUGGUCUAAAAAGGGGAGGCAUGAAUAAUCCACCCCUUGUUUAGCAUAUCAGCAAGAAAUAACCAUAAAAAUGGGCAACAAGCAGCCCCGGGGGCUGCUCUAUCUAUGGAGUAGCCAUUCUUUUAUUCCUUUACUUUCUUGAUAAACUUGCUCUCACUUUGCACAGCAGACUCGCCUUGAAUUCUUUCUUGUGUGAGAUCCAAGAACCCUCUCGUGGGGUCUGGAUCAGGACCCCUUUCCUAUAACACAUCUGCUCCCCCACCUCCAUUCCCUGUGAGGACUAAGCUCUGAUAUUUUUUAUCUUGCCCAAAUUCCUAUCUAAGGCGUCUGGGGAGUCAUGCCCUAAAAACCAUACAUUCUCAUCAGAUGGGCUUUAUUUAGCCCUAUAUAUCGUGACUUACUUUCCAACCUGACUCUGGCAUAACAUUACGAGUCAAGGAAGAAAAAGUAUUUCAUCCCAAAACAUGCUUCUUUGCCAUAUUUUGAAGUGGCCCUGCAAAGCUGUCCUUUGUGGGGGAAAACGUGCAUCUGUAAAGAAUCUCUAUUCACAGAGCUAGAUCGUUUUCUUCCAGGCCCUCCCAACCCUGAAGAGAUGAAGUAAGAGUCUUAGCACCUUUUUAAAGGUCUGAUUAGGAAACAUUUGUCAUCUAUUGUCUCCAAGGGGAGCCACUAUAAGACUUAAAAAGAACCUUGGUCUCCACAAUCUUUCAUCUUAACCUGAACAUUUCCUUUCUAUUGAUCCCAGGUCUUUAGACAACUCAACCAAGUGCCAACCAGAAAAUGUUUAAAUUUACCUAUAGCCUGGAAGGCCCCCUCCCCACCUUGCUUUUGAGCUGUCCCGCCUUUCUGAACCAAACCAAUGUAUUUCUUAAAUGUAUUUGAUUGCUGCCUCAUGCCUCCCUAAAAUAUAUAAAACCAAGCUGCGCCCCAACCACCUUGGGCACAUGUUCUCAGGACCUCCCAAGAGCUAUGUCAUGGCUGUGGUCACUCAUAUUUGGCUGAGAAUAAAUCUCUUCAAAUAUUU